CUUGGGUCCACCGUUAGGGCGUCACCAAGGUCUGCUCUGGUGUGAACCUGGGUGCCAGGACCUGCCUGCCAUCCGAGGGAGUCCAGGGAAUGGGCGGCCCUGGAGGUGCGCUCCCACCCUCCUCGCCAGGGCCUACCCCUGCUGGGUAGCAGGGAGCCCUGGGGCAGCGGUCCCUUUCAAGUUCUAAGUAGCCUCCCUUGGAAAGCCACGCGUGCAGCGCACGUCUGCUGGUCUGCCUUCACCGUGUCCGCCCACUCCGCUGCUCUGGGCCCCAACCAGUCUCUGUUCAAGGACUUGCAGCGGACACACUGUUCCCUUCCCCUGGGUGGGACGGCACUUGAGCUGUGCCACCAGCCAUAACCCUGCUCACACCCAGCCGCUCCCCCAGGUUAAUCUGGCCCCUGCCAACUCCCGAAUUGGGUAGCUUCUUUAGAAAUCAAUUGCCAAUCAAAAGUAUUCCAGGUCCUUCUUGCCUUGAAGAAAGAAUUGGACAAGCCCAAAAUGGUUCCAAAAGUUUAUGUGAAAAGUGCAGGGUGAAUGGGUAAUGAGAAACCAGCUGUGCAGAGUGAACUUGGGCAGAACACAAGAAAAAGUGUGAUAGCCAACCUGAGUCCAUUUGUGUACCUAACUCCAUUUGUGUAAAGUCGAG
rnacentral:lncRNA from 1 species